rnacentral:rRNA from 1 species
GAUCCUGGGCUCAGGAUGAACGCUAGCUACAGGCUUAACACAUGCAAGUCGAGGGGCAGCAUGAAAGGAACUUCGGUUCUUUUUGAUGGCGACCGGCGCACGGGUGCGUAACGCGUAUCGAACCUGCCUCAUACUCGGGGAUAGCCUUGCGAAAGUAAGAUUAAUACCCGGCGGUCUCGGAUGGCCGCAUGACUAUCCGAGUGAAGAUUUAUCGGUAUGAGAUGGCGAUGCGUCCCAUUAG